rnacentral:rRNA from 1 species
GAUGAACGCUAGCUACAGGCUUAACACAUGCAAGUCGAAGGACCGGCGCACAGGUGAGUAACACGUACCCAACCUCCCCUGUACUCUAGGAUAGCCUUUCGAUAGAACGACUAAUACCCUAUAUCAAGGAUGGGGAUGCGUUCCUGUAGGUUUUAGGUGAGGUAACGGCUCACCAAGCCUUCGAUGGUGAGGGGUUCGGAGAGGAAGGUCCCCUCGAUUGGAACUUCGACACGGUCCACAAUCCUACGGGAGGCAGCAGUGAGGAAGAUUGGUCAAUGGGCGCUAGCCUGAACCAGCCACGUAGCGUGAAGGAUGAAGGCUUUUGGGUCGUAAUCUUCUAUUAUAUAAGAAUCUGUAUUAUAUGAAUAAGGAUCGGCUAACUCCGUGCCAGCAGCCGCGGUAAUAC